rnacentral:rRNA from 1 species
UACAGAGGUCCCGAGCGUUGUUCGGAAUUACUGGGCGUAAAGGGCGCGUAGGCGGCCUGUUAAGUCGAACGUGAAAUCCCCGGGCUCAACCCGGGAACUGCGUCCGAUACUGGCAGGCUUGAAUCCGGGAGAGGGAUGCGGAAUUCCAGGUGUAGCGGUGAAAUGCGUAGAUAUCUGGAGGAACACCGGUGGCGAAGGCGGCAUCCUGGACCGGCAUUGACGCUGAGGCGCGAAAGCCAGGGGAGCAAACGGG